CGUUGUGAAUAUUCAUAUUCUUUCUUCUUCUCACUUAGGAUCCGCCGCGACUCUCCCACCUCAUCCUUCUUCUCAUUGCAUCCGUCUCAAUCCUCUUUGCCGGUAAUUUCUGCUUUAACACUUCACCGUCUCUCGAUGUUCACUACCAUCUCCUUCAAUUCUUGCUCCGCUCGCCAUUUCUUGCCCGUGAUUCAACAUCUCUCCGCUCAGAUUUUCACUCGUUUAAUCUUCAUAUCAGUGAAUUGCAACCUUAUCAUAUGGACAAACUUAAACAAAGUGAAACUAGGCAUCGGAGAGAUGAGAUAUUCGAAGAUAAGGCUUACCUACCAAAGACAAGUCUAG